GACCUAAUAGCACAAAAUCGGGAGUGCACCUGCCCACGUUGGAGGCAAAUGCAAGUUGGAUGCAGAAAUCUCGUGUUCGAUUCACGGUUAGGUCA